CUUGAAGAGUUUGGGAAGUAUCCAUGGGGUGCUGUGUCUUAUGCGAAGACAAAUGCGUCACUGCUGAGGGCACUUUGUGCAGAUUACCAGCGAGUGAAAGUGCCCACAAAAACUGCAAAAACAAAAAAAAUCUGGAAAGAAACCAACAACAACGGCAACCGGUAGACCAAGAGAGUACCACCUCAAAGGUUUUGCCUAUGCACUUCAGAUUUGGGCGUAUGAGGUAUUUCCAGCGUUGGCUGCACUACAUUUGGUGGUGCACGAAGAUAAUGCGUACAUCCCUCGUUUACUACAUUGGAGGAGCAAUAGUUCGCCGCGUUUUUAUGAGCUAAUGAGCCAAGUAUUCGAGAACCGUGAGGUUGAUGUGCAGCUUCUCCGGCCAUCUGUAAUGGACAAGCAGCAGCCGUAUUGGACUUGGGGUGACAGUGCUGACAACACUGAAGAACUUGUUGACUUGUUGGGCGAUGACGCUGAACAAAAAACCGGCACUUCUGCCUCUGUAGAAGAAAAAGAUAAGGACAUUGACGAAACUGCAAGCCUUCCGUCGUCUU